CAAUCAUGCAGAUUUUUGGCUUGCUGUGAUUCCAGACCUCACCUCACCUUGCUUUCUGAUCUCCAGUCUCCCAUUUCAGCUGCCUCUGACCUUGAGUCUUGCCUCCUGAUUCCAGCCUGGUAAUUACCUCUGAUCACUGACCCCAGCUGACUCUGACUCCUGCCUAUUGAUCCUGUUUAUAGUGAUUAUUCUGAUUUCUGCUUACUGACUGCAGCCUUGUGACUUGUGGACACCAACCUAGCUGUGACUGUUAGGCCAGAUUGCCUAAGCCCUGGUCCCUUAUGAGUAACCUGACAUUAUGCCUGACAGAGCUAAAGGACUGGCCCAAAGUUUGUUGGGAAAUUAUUGAUGAACUGAAUUGCUGAACUGGGACUUCAGUGAGAACAAGAGACCUGCAGAGACUCAAUCCUACUCCUAUUGAACUGUACGGCAAAACUCCCACUAAUGUCAAGAAUGGAAGACGUUUCAGAGUCAUGAAACUCCUCCCAAAUUGAAAAAUCCAGUUCCCAAACAGCUCUAGAAAUCAUGAAUGCAUGUGAUGUAUUGAAUUAUUUUACCUAAAACAUAUUGCAAAUUUCUGUUAUCUUAGAAGCUGUUAAAUUUAUUGGUUCUAAAAUUAACUUUUACAUAUUAUCAAUAUUAAUUAGACCAGCCAGACUGUGCUGACAAGGAUUAGUGUUUAAAGUCACUGAAGUCAACAGGAGCUGAGAGUAACUCAGCACAUCUGAAAAUCCAGCCUGAGAUUUCUCCAGUUGGGCACCAGGGCUAGAUUAAUGCAAGGGUUGUAGGGGCUACAGCCCAGGCCCUCAGGCAAAGGGGGACCCCGCAAAAAUAAAUCCAUAAUUGUAUACAAUUCAGUGGUCACCUACCCGUCGAUCACGAUCGACUGAUCCUGGAGCCUCUCCCAGUCGAUCGCGAUCUCCAGGCCGCUAAAAGUCCAGCGGCACAGCAGGGCUCAGGCAGGCUGCCUGCCUGCAUGCCAUGGCCCCAUGCCGCUCCCAGAAG